CCAAUAGCGUAUAUUAAAGUUGUUGCAGUUAAAAAGCUCGUAGUUGAAUUUCGGGACCAAUUUGUUGGUCGUGCCUCGGUACGUACUGGUAUUAUUGGUUUCUCCCUUCUGAAGAAUCUCGAUGCCAUUAAUUUGGUGUCGUGGGGAAUCAGGACUGUUACUUUGAAAAAAUUAGAGUGUUUAAAGCAAGCAUACGCUUGAAUACAUUAGCAUGGAAUAAUGAAAUAGGACGUUUGAUUCUAUUUUGUUGGUUUCUAGGAUCGACGUAAUGAUUAAUAGGGAUAGUUGGGGGCAUUAGUAUUCAAUUGUCAGAGGUGAAAUUCUUGGAUUUAUUGAAGACUAACUACUGCGAAAGCAUUUGCCAAGGAUGUUUUCAUUAAUCAAGAACGAAAGUUAGGGGAUCGAAGACGAUCAGAUACCGUCGUAGUCUUAACCAUAAACUAUGCCGACUAGGGAUCGGAUGAUGUUAAUUUUUUAAUGACUCAUUCGGCGCCUUAC
rnacentral:rRNA from 1 species